CUCUUCUUCUUCUUCUUCUUCUUCUUCUUCUUCUUUCUUUUCACUUUGCCUAUUUCUUCUCCUCUUCUCCUCUUGUUGGAGCUAAAUUACCUAAUUAUGUCUUUUUGGAGCUAAAUGGAUUAAUUAUCCCAUUUUAGAGGAAAACAAGCUAGGUAUAUAAUAUUCAUGAGCUAACCAAGGUUCUUAUGCCAUUUUGAGCUUAUUAUGGUAUUUUGGAGCUAAAUGGGCUAAUUAUGUCAUUGUUGGGGAAAUUAAAGCAAGGAUGAUAUGAAAUAGGAGAAGAA
rnacentral:lncRNA from 1 species